GCGCCUCCUGCCCGGCAGCGGUGAAGAGAAGAACUACCACUCCCGAAGAGGAGCGCAGGCCGCCGCCGGGCGGCUGCGGGAAGCUGGGCCAGGCGGCCGCAGAUCCCCACAACAUCCGGGAGCCGGCGACCACUUCCAGUUGCUAUGGUUACGAGUUGCAACCUCCAAAAAGAAUUCGUGGUUUCACCCGGGAAAACAGCUCCCCGGAUUAAACGGAUAGGUUUACACAUACUGAUCCACCCAGCUAUUCAUCUUCUGUUUGCUGCUUUAAUUGGGUGCGGUUAAAAGGCCACGUCCCUAGGCGUUCACCGGCUUUCUUGCCAUCUGCUGCAUGAAAACUGAUUUUGCCGAAAAAAUUAACAAAGAAGAUAGCGAAAAUGACAGACCGCGACCGGGUGUAUGUGAUUUUAAGGGUAGUCUUCAACGUCAAGAGAAGAGACCACCAAACAGGCUUUGUGAUAAGAAAAGUACUUCACCUUCAAAUUCAGACACAGAAAUGAAAUCUGAACAACUGCCUCCUUGUGUGAACCCUGGCAAUCCUGUGUUUUCAUGUAUGUUGGAUCCAAAGACACUCCAGACAGCCACCUCACUAUCAAAACCUCAAAUGAUUAUGUAUAAAACCAAUUCAAGUCAUUAUGGUGAAUUUCUACCUAUUCCACAGUUUUUCCCCUGCAAUUAUACUCCAAAGGAGCAAGUAUUUUCAAGCCAUAUCAGAGCAACUGGAUUUUAUCAAAAUAACACUCUAAAUACUGCACCUGACAGAACCAGAACUCUUGAUUUUCCUAAUAUUCAAC
rnacentral:lncRNA from 1 species